CUAGAGUGUCUCUCUCACUUUCUUGUGAUGGAUGUUGUGAUAAGAUAUUUGGUUUCAAUUUAUUUUAAAGAUAACAAUAAUUUGGGAAAUUUUGCCACUUAAUACGAAGGGUGUGUCAUUAUCUUUCGUUACAUAUUUACACAACAACAAUAUUAGCACAAAGUAAAAAAAAAAAAAAACUAUAUAGCCAAAAAUAUCGAAUUAACAAAAAUGUUAUCUUUUGUUUUAGGUAUUAAGAUCGGUAAUGCUAGUCCUGCUAUUAGUCAUCUUUUGUUUGCGGAUGAUUCUCUGUUUUUCUGUCAAGCCAAUCUGCGUUCUUGUCAGGC
rnacentral:lncRNA from 1 species